CUAUAUAUACCCUGUAGAACCGAAUUUGUGUGGUAUUUACAUAGUCACAGAUUCGAUUCUAGGGGAAUAUAUGGU
rfam:Sarcophilus harrisii ctg7180002438176, whole genome shotgun sequence.